rnacentral:ncRNA from 2 species
UUCUUAUCAAGAGAGGCGGAGGGACUGACCCUAUGAAGCCUCGGCAACCAGCAUUUAUGCACGGUGCCAAAUUCAGAGGAAUACAUUUUCCGAAGAUAAGAA